UUUGUUCUAAUGCCGGCAGAACUACAUUUUCGAGGGAGAUCAUAAACACCUUUUGAGAAGUGGGUGGCCCUGAAAAGGGUUACUUUUGUUGGUGUAGAAUGACACUGGAACCCGCCGAUGACUGCAUUUAUUUGUAUCAGCAUAUCUAUUGCCAGCGACAUCGCUGUAACCCGGCAUCCCACCCGUACUGCAUGACUCCAUGAGACCGACUUCCUCGAAAACCGUACGCAUAUAAAAUCCUUUCUUGUGUCGAUGAUGUAAUUAAAAUAGUCAACGGCACGGAGGACUCCGAUACUGCUGAAGAAGAUGAGGAUAGUGAGAACACUUCAUAUAGUACUACACAGAAACUUCAUCCAGCAUCUUCAGUCAGAUGUGAAGAGACUAGCAGUAACAGUGAGAUUGAUUACAGCGAUAAGGAUGUGGACUAUAUAUAUGAUAACGAUUCUGGGAAAGAUGACAACACCAGUAAAGAGGGCAGCAUUGAUGAUGAAAUAACCUUUAAAAUUAAUGAUGAAAGGAAAGCAGCCAAUCUAAAUAAAGGCAAUCGAGUUAGAUGGGUUGAAAGAGACACAAAUGCAGUGAAGGAUUAUUUUAGAUCAUUCAUAGAAUAUACUUCAAAAUCACAUAGAACAGGACCCCUGCCUGGAAAACAGAUAAUGAUACUCAUCUCCUACAUUCUCUGAAGACAAGGUUCAUAUCUUCUCCUGAAAAUCUUUGUUACCUACCAGUUUCAAUGGAAAAUUUCAAUUACAUGAAAACUGAAAGUUUAUGAGUUCAUCAGAAAACAUCCCAGUGUACUGGUGGGAAUAAAUGACACUGAGAAAAAACUUCAUUUAAUCAGAACGAAGAUCUACAAUGAACAAAACAGAACCAGGAAAAUUGUGUUCAAACAACUUAAUCCUAUGAGAAAGUAAAUUCAUUUUCAAGAGUCACCAAGGGAUAGUGUGUAAGACAAUAAUAUAUAGCUAACCCUAGCAUUAAAUAAGAAAAUUGUAUUCUCAACAUAUUCCAGAGUUUGGUUACCUUGGUACAGAAUCAGACCCAACAUAUUUUGUAGGCAAUUAAGAAUGAUUUUACUUUAUAUUCUUUGGCAAAUGAUCUCAUUAUGGAAAGAUAUUACAUAAGAUGUAGUACUAUUAUGAUCCUUUCUUAGCUCACCAUCAUCAGUACGUCAUACGUCCAUCCUUCCAUCUGUAAUCAGUCUUUAUUAAUCGCUAUUUCUUUGGAAGAAUAGGGAGCAUUGUUUGCAAACUUCAUAUAUGGGUUCCACUUAGUCCCAGCUAGUUGUGUCAAUUUGAUUUUGUGUCUCAUCCAGAAAACAAAAUGGCUACCAGGUAGCCAUCUUGGAUUUUGACAGUUGAAGAUAAUAAUCGCUAUUCCUCUAGAAGUAGUAUUUGGGGGAUUUUUCUCAAACCUCAAAUGUAGGCAUCCCUUGGUCCCUUGUUGUAUCCAUUUGAUUUCGAGUGUGAUCGGGAAACAAAGUGGCUGACAGUUGACCAUCUUGAAUUUUGACAAUUGAAGUUUGUUAUUGCUGUUUUCUGUUUUCAUGAUUAAGGGGAUAAAUUGCUACACAUGAUCCUAGCUGGCUUGUCAGUGUUCUAGUUAUGCUCAGGAUUUUUAGCAUGUUGCAGUAGUCAUAUAUGACAUUGAGGUAUUUUUAUUUAAAGUAUCACAAUUUGCUUCAGACAAUGUGAUGGUGUUAUAUGACUGGUCAGGAGUACUAUUCAGUUUACCCAUAACAGGAUUUCCGAUGAUGCAAAAUGUUUGAUGAACUGGACAUGAUAAACCAGUCUAAAAAUAAAACUUUUUUACCAUAGUUCAUGGAAUAUUAUAUUUAGUAUCAUAAUAUUGUAUGAAUUAAUUCACAUUGAAUAAUAGAGUAUAACUUGUCAAAACCGACCUGCUUAAACUGACCAUCAUCUUUUUUCAACUAGCAACAAUAUAAACUUCGAAAACUUUCACAAUUACCUGAUUAAGGACCAUGUUGCUGAUUGAAGUGCCCAUGGGUUUGAUUUACUGGUAAUUUUAAUUGACAUCUCAAUGGUUGAUGACUAUUCAAUACUCCAAAAGGAUUACCGGCGAAAGCACACAUGUGCCUUUCGAGUGUGCAGUUGAUACAGAUCUAAAAAUGCCUGGUUGUUGAUACUGAAGAUGACUCAGAAUAUGUAAACAGUUUAUACAUAUUACGUAUGCCUAGCGAGGCAGUGAUAGAAACUGACUUACUUAGGGGACUGGGAAAAUGAUUUGUAAUUCAAUGGUAAACCUUGUGGGGAAAAAAACUUCAUUGUCAUUUCAUACACUACCGGUUGGGGCAUGGAUGUAGCUAGUUAGUUUUCACAGCUUCAUUUAAAGGCUUUUAUUCUUAUUUCGAUCUGUAUUGGACUUUGAAUAAAGAUUAAAAAUUUUAUUAUGCACUUACAUCCCAUUUUUCAAGUCAAACCUCAUUUCUCAGAUGUUGAUUAUACCUAACUGAUCUCUAUCAACCGGUGUAGUAUGGUAAAAUGUAGCCCAUGGUAAAGUAAAGCAUUUCACUAUUUUCUUAACGAUUCACUUUUUUUCACCAAAUCUUUUUUAGAGUACCUCGUUUUAUUCCUCUGAACACAUAAACACACAAAAAAUGUUUGGGGGUCAGGAAAUUUAGGGUGGGGUGAAGCACUUUACUUUAAAGUCAGCAUGGCACCAAACCCUAAAUUUUCUGACUCCUAAACAUUUUUAGCCAACCAUCAUCAGAAGGUACUGAAGGGACCUAAAAUUUCAUAUGUAAGUUCCUUUUGUUCUCUCCUAUUGCAUUUUUGGACCAAUCUGAAAACAACAUGGCCGACAGACAGCCAUAAUAUCGCUAGAUCUCAGAUUUUUUUGUGUUAAAUUAUCAUGAUAUGUAGAGAAAUAACUAGGCUAAUUGAUAAAAAGAUUUUAUAAAGAAAAGUCAAUUAGAAACAAAUGAUAAGGUGGCUUCACUUUAUCAUAAUGGUAUUUUGACCCUGGUUCAUUUUCACCAUGCUUCAAAAUACCAUGCAGCACCAUGGAGGUAUCUAUACAGUCGAACCUGUGUAUAAAGGACACAUAAGGGACAAGACAAAGAUGGCCUUCAUAGAGAGGUGUCCUUCAUAUAGAGGUUCAACGAGUUAUGUCCCUUAUAAACGAAGAAACAAACCAAAGUCUGAUUGAUAGUACACUAUAUAUCUACUGAUUAUUAGAUUUAUUUUGUAUAUGCAAAUUGGCCAAAUAGUCCCAGUGACAUCCGGUUUAGACAGGCUAUACUAUACGAUAUCUGCAAUUGUUUUUUUCAUACAAAAGAUAAUUUCAUUUUUUGUUUGUUUCUCCUUUUUUUUUUAUUUAGUUCUUAUUUUUAAGCUGAACCUUGCUGUGUUUUUAAUGAUGUGCUUACAGUGAUUAAUCAUGUCUGGAUGCCUGUAGAAAUGUUUUAUAUUCCUUUUCUAUAUUGUAUAGAAUUUUCAUAGUUUUUUAAUCAUUUUUAGCUCGUCUCUUCAAAGAGGGACAGCUAAUGUUGUCACCCCGCCUCGGCAUUGGUUUUCCAACUUUAUGUUUUGAUGCAAGUGUUGAAACGCAUUAACACAUCACUUUAUGAUUGUACAUUGUACUAGGGUACUGAUAUUUGACAUUAAGGUCCCUGUUGACUUAGACUAUUCAUUUGCAAAGUCAAACUAA